rnacentral:rRNA from 1 species
AUGCAAGUAGAACGCUGAAGGAGGAGCUUGCUCUUCUGGAUGAGUUGCGAACGGGUGAGUAACGCGUAGGUAACCUGCCUGGUAGCGGGGGAUAACUAUUGGAAACGAUAGCUAAUACCGCAUAACAGUAGAUGUUGCAUGACAUUUGCUUAAAAGGUGCAAUUGCAUCACUACCAGAUGGACCUGCGUUGUAUUAGCUAGUUGGGGGGGUAACGGCUCACCAAGGCGACGAUACAUAGCCGACCUGAGAGGGUGAUCGGCCACACUGGGACUGAGACACGGCCCAAACUCCUACGGGAGGCAGCAGUAGGGAAUCUUCGGCAAUGGACGGAAGUCUGACCGAGCAACGCCGCGUGAGUGAAGAAGGUUUUCGGAUCGUAAAGCUCUGUUGUAAGAGAAGAACGAGUGUGAGAGUGGAAAGUUCACACUGUGACGGUAUCUUACCAGAAAGGGACGGCUAACUACGUGCCAGCAGCCGCGGUAAUACGUAGGUCCCGAGCGUUGUCCGGAUUUAUUGGGCGUAAAGCGAGCGCAGGCGGUUAGAUAAGUCUGAAGUUAAAGGCUGUGGCUUAACCAUAGUACGCUUUGGAAACUGUUUAACUUGAGUGCAAGAGGGGAGAGUGGAAUUCCAUGUGUAGCGGUGAAAUGCGUAGAUAUAUGGAGGAACACCGGUGGCGAAAGCGGCUCUCUGGCUUGUAACUGACGCUGAGGCUCGAAAGCGUGGGGAGCAAACAGGAUUAGAUACCCUGGUAGUCCACGCCGUAAACGAUGAGUGCUAGGUGUUAGACCCUUUCCGGGGUUUAGUGCCGUAGCUAACGCAUUAAGCACUCCGCCUGGGGAGUACGACCGCAAGGUUGAAACUCAAAGGAAUUGACGGGGGCCCGCACAAGCGG